AUAAUAUUGAUGUUGCUGAAUGAUAACCUGAUAUUGAAGCAGCUUGGUAAUAUGAAAGAAACCAAAGCCACUGGAAACCAAACCCAAUGGACUAAAUAUCAGAAGAUGGAGAUUCUAUUUCUGACUUUGCCACUUACGUCAUAUCAAGGUAUCAUUGUCUGAAAAUGACCCGUGAGACUGCUAUUUUGGAGUCCUCAGGAUAUGCGGGCAAAAAGGACUGGCCAACAUGUUGGAAAUGGCAAAGCAUAAAGAAUUCCUGUAAAUGAUGAACUCUUGCCAUUGGAAUUGCACAGCCAUAGAACACGAACUGCCUGAGACAAGUCAGCCUCCACACCAAGCUCUGCCAGCAUGACUCAAUACCAUUCCCAAGAUAUCAAGCUGGAGGAAUUUAAUCUCUGUAUCCUUGGUCUCUAACCUUCCCGAAGAGAAUCUCUUUCAGCUUGUCAACAUCUUCACGGAUUAAUCAGUCCCCCAUUCUCCUUUUAUCUGGAUGCAAAGAACGUUAAGGCCCUAGAGACAGAGGAGCCAGAAGGAGGAAAGAGCCUGGGUCCUUGAAUUACCACUAGGAGAAAUCUGCCUGCUGUCAAGCAAGCCUGCAUUGGACUACAUUAUAGAUUCUGCAACCCAUAUGAAGCUCAGUCCUACUGGAAAUUAUCAAAAUGGAUGAAAUUGUCUUUUAAUAUCUCAUAAAGUAGCCUUGGAAACAUCUAAGACUGUUUUUAAAGUACUCAUAAUAUUUUCUUGCUGAUUAUUUUUUCUUGCUAAAUGAUUUGCGUGCACUCAGUCCAGCCUCUGUCUCAUUUUCCUGGGCUGAAUAUGUCCUUUGAAACAAUAGAAGAAGACAAGCCCCCAUCUCUACAAAUCUACCCCUCCCAGGAAUCAAUCUUGGCUCUUAGCAGGGUAAUUAGAAUUCAUUUCAGUUAUAUUGAGUUUAAACAGAUCCAAUACCAAAUUUUGGUUAAUUUUUCUUGUGUGUAAUGCUUCUGGCUUGUUUACUUACCUUUUUUCUUUCAUUAUAUAUUUAUUGUGUGCCUACUAUGGCCCAGGUACUUGAAUAAAGGCAACAUUGUCUAGAUUUGCAGUCUAGUAAUUGCACUAUGCAUUUAAAGUGUAUGAUUCAAUGGCUUUUAGUGUAUUUACAAAGUUAUGCAACCAUCACCACUAUCAAUCUUAGAACAUAUUAUUACUCCCAAAAGAAACCCCAUACCUAUUAGCAGUUACUCCCCAUUUCCCCUAACACCUUACUCCCGUCCUAGGCAAACACUCAUUGACUUUCUUCUCUAUGGAUUUGCCUAAUUUGGAUAUUUCAUAUAAAUAGAAUUAUACAAUAUGUGAUCUUUCAUGAGUGGCUUCUUUCACUUGACAUGUUUCGAAGGUUUAUUCAUGUUGUAGCAUGUAUCAGUAACUUACUCAUUUUUAUUGACAAAUAAUAUUCUAUUGAAUGAAUACACCAAUUUUAUUCAUCUGCUCAUCAACUGAUGAACAUUUGGCCUGUUUCUACUAUUAUGAAUAUUGCCACUAUUAACAUUUCAUGUACAUGUUUUUGUGUAAACCCGUGUUUUUCUCUUUCCUGGGUCAAUAUCGAGGAGUUCAGUUGCUGAGUCAAAUGAUAACUCUACAUUUAAGCUAUUCCAAAGCAGCUAUCCCAUUUUACAUUCUCCCAAGCAAUGUAACUUACAAGGGUUCUUGACUUGGAAUUCUAGACACAAGUUUCAAGUUUAAAACAUUUUUUUAAAUAGCAAAGGGCAUCACAUCCUAAGACUGGAAAAUAAGUUGUCUCAUAUAACAUUUAUAUAUAAUAUACAAACACACAAAUGUAACCCAAUUUGUGGGUAGUAAGUACAAAUAUAUAUAUAUAACUUUAUGAAGCACAUGAUUCCUAUCAUAAUGUUUGGCUCUUAGUAAGUUAGCAACAAAUGACUAUAUAAUUAAUCCAAAGUGAAUAGGUGGCUGACUGAAAGAGUAAAUGUAUAAAUGAAUGAAUAAAGACAUACAACGAAGGCUUGGUAUGGUGGCUCACGCCUAUAAUCCCAGCACUUUGGGAUACCAAGAUGGGUGGAUCACUUGAGGCCAGGAGUUCAAGACCAGCCUGGCCAACAUGGCAGAACCCUGUUUCUACUAAAAAUACAAAAAUUAGCUGAGUAUGGUGGCAGGUAACUGUAAAACCAGCUACUUGAGAGGCCGAGGUGGGAGAAUUGCUUGAACCCGCGGGAGGCAGAGGUUGCAGUGAGCCAAAAUCAUGCCACGGCACUCCAACCUGGGCAAUAGAGCAAGAUUCUGUCUCAAAAAAAAAAAAAAAAAAAAAAGGAAGAUACACAACUAAAUUUCUAGUUUGCAUCAGGCAAUAUGAUGAGUUCUUUAGGUUUCCGCUAUGCAUUUACAAAUGUGCUACAUGUGUGAAACAGACUUGGCUUUUUUUUUCUCAGUGAAAUACAGUAAAUCACCCUUAUGCUAUUAAUGAAAAUAAAUGACCGCCAGCCCACAUCAAUCAAGUGAUAUUUCCAAGGUUAUUAAUUUACAUAUUAUUUGAAGUCCACUAGACACCAUGACUACAGGUGGUGAUUCUAGAACCAGUGACUGAAACUAAGUAGAAAUUUAAAUGCAUGCUCAGGUUCCUAAUUAAAAUCUACAUGAGAAAAUACAUCAUAUGUCUCAAAACACAGAUAUAAAAAUAGUCAUUUGAAACAGAUCUUAUAAGUUGUUGAUUGCCUGUGGAUUACUGUUACUAUUGUAGUUUUUAAAAUUUAUUUUACUUAAAUUUUAAAGAAUUCUCUUGAGAGAAAGCACAAAAAUCAGGUAGUUGUUUUAAUAUCUCAUUGAGAAAUAAAAUGACACAUUCUUCACCUAUCUGUAUAUGUGAGGAUCUAAUAGAAAAUGCCACAAUGAAAUGUAUUUAGUUAUAGAUUUUAUUGAUUUGAUUUUCCUGGUAUUUCCAUAUUUAGAUUUUUAAAGCUUAUUUACUUGAUUAAGGUGACAAUAUUUUAUUUCUAUAAAAUGUUUCUGUUUUUCUGAUCUACACUGAAAGGGAAAAAGAGUCAGUAGAUGAAGGUGUCCUACUGAGGUACUGCUGUUUAUGGAAGAACAGUACACGAAGCAAUAAAUAGCUCUAGCCAGUGAUUAAAUGUAGAAACACAGUCGAUGUAUCUUAUGAAUACAAAUGCCAUUUACAGCUUCACAUACUUCAAUGUCAUAAAUACUAUUUUCAUUGCACAAGUAAAAAGAUGACAACAUAAACUCCAUAUAUAUACAUAAAUGAUAAAAAUGGCACAAAUAAAAACAUAGGUACAUGUGCCAAUCUAAAUUAUAAUUUUAUGUUUAUAUGAAUCUAUCAUGUGGGAUCUAAUGAUUAGUAUUUUUUUCAUGUAAGUUUAAAUACAAGUUUUUAAAUAGUGAUUACGUGCUCAAGAUGGACAAUGUGGAGAAGAGAGACUAAGGUUUUAUAUAUGGAAAAACCCUGUCAUUAGGAAUUAGAAAGACUUAAGGGUCAAAGUCAUUAAAGUUUGUCUAACAUUAAUGUUAAAUUGAAUUUCUAUUUGGCACAUGUCUAUAUAGCCAAUACAUG
rnacentral:lncRNA from 10 species